rnacentral:lncRNA from 1 species
CUAAAAGAACUAGAAAAAGAAGAAACAAAGCCCAAAGCCAGUAGAAGGAAGGAAAUAAUUAAAAAAUCAGUGCAGAAAUAAAUGAAAUAGAGAUUAAAAAGACGAGAGAAAGGAUCAAUGAAACUAAGAGCUACUUCUUUGAAGAGAUAAAUAAAAUUGACAAACUCUUAGUUACUCAUUAAAAAAAAGAGAGAAGACUCAAAUAAAUAAAAUCAGAAAUGAAGGAGGAGAAAUUACAAUGGACAUGAUAGAAAUAUCAAGGAUUAUAAGAGAACACUAUUGAAAGCUAUAUGUCAACAAUUUGGAUAAUCUAGAAGAAAUGAAUAAAUUCUUAGAAUCAUAUAACCCUCCAAAACUGAAUCAAGAGGAAAUGAAGAAUCUGAAUAGACCAAUCACAAGUAAAAAGAUUGAAAUAGUAAACAUAAGCCUUCCCAAAAACAAAAGUCCAGAGCCAGACCACUUCCCUGGUGAAUUCUACCAAACAUUCAAAGAAGAUUUAAUACCUGUCCUCCUCAAACUAUUCUAAAAAUUGAAGAGGCCAAGACACUUUCUAACUCAUUUUAUCAGGCCAAAAUUACCCAAAUACCAAACUCAGACAAGAACAACACAAAAAAAUGAAAAUUACAGGCCAAAGUCACUGAUAAACAUAGAUGUAAAAACCCUCAACAAAAUAUUAGCAAAUUGAAUAAAACAUACAUUAAAAGGAUCAUACACCACAAUCAAGUGGGAUUUAUUCCAGAGAUGCAGGGAUGGUUCAACAUCUGCAAAUCAAUCAAUGAGAUACACCACAUUAACAAAAUCAAGAAAGCUUUAAUUUCCUCAUUUUUAAACUGCAACAAUACUAACACCUUUCUCAUGGAUUUGUUGUUGAUACAAAGAAAUAAAAUAUGAAGGCACCUAUGUAACAGAGUAUGUCUCAUCAAACUGAUAAAUUUGCUGUUUCCACAUUGUUUUUACUUAAUAAACCUUGCCGCAAUCUAGUGUAAGCUGAGGCACACUCAUACCUGAUAUCUCACUUGGGAGUCUCUGUUCACUGCUCAUUCUUGAGCUUUAUUCCUAGAAAACGCCAAAAACGUUGGUAAAAUGGACUUGCAUGACAGUUAGACCUGUUUCUUGAUGAGGACGCUGGGAACAACUCAAUGGAAGAUUUUUAUUCAAUUAAAAAAUGGGGGGAAAAUGCAGAGGACUGAACAGUGGUGUAAAUCAUGACACAUCAAAGAAGACAAGAUUCCUAAACCGGGAUUCAGUUCCUCACGCCUUCAGUGGGACUAAAGGCUUCAGUUCUUCAUCGGCUGUUGGUAAGAGACCACCCUUGUUCCUUGCCAUGAGUCCUCUCCAACACAGCAAUUUGCUUCAUCGAAGUGUGCAAGUAAGAAAAGUCAGAGAAAGAGAGAAAGCAUGAGGAAGAUUAGCCCUGAGCUAACAUCCAUGCACAUCUUCCUCAACUUUAUGUGUUGGACGCCUACCACAGCAUGGCUUGACAAGCGGCGCAUAGGUCCACGCUGGGAUCUAACUGGUGAAUCCUGGGCCACGGAAGCAGAAUACGUGAACUUAACCACCAUGCCACCAGGCCAGCCUGGGAAUCCACAGCUCUUGGUCCAAACCACCAACAUUCCAAGAAGUCAGUCAGGACAAAAAUAUCCUGUUUGUGAGGAAUGAUGAAACUGGACUUUGCUGAUGACCAAAUCUCAAGCCAUUCUAUGAAGUAUAAUCUUAGCCUUACCUCUUCUAACAUCAAUGGACUCUUCUUGAAUACAACUUACCUCAUCUUCCUCCCUUUUUCCCAUAAAAACUCUAAGCCCCUCUCCUAUAAUCAGGUAUAUUUGGAUUUAUAUCUGAAUCUGUUCUCCCUGAAUUGCAAUUCUUUGAUGCCAAAUAAACACUUUGC